rnacentral:rRNA from 1 species
AUUGAACGCUGACGGCGUGCUUAACACAUGCAAGUCGAUCGGUAACAGGUGUAGCAAUACAUGCUGACGAGAGGCGGACGGGUGAGUAAUGCUUGGGAAUCUGCCUAUUAGUGGGGGACAACCCGGGGAAACUCGGGCUAAUACCGCAUACGCUCUACGGAGGAAAGCCGGGGACCGCAAGGCCUGGCGCUAAUAGAUGAGCCCAAGUCGGAUUAGCUAGUUGGUAGGGAACGGCCUACCAAGGCGACAAUCCGUAGCUGGUCUGAGAGGACGACCAGCCACACCGGAACUGAGACACGGUCCGGGACUCCUACGGGAGGCAGCAGUGGGGAAUAUUGGACAAUGGGGCAACCCUGAUCCAGCGACGCCGCGUGGGUGAAGAAGGCCUGCGGGUUGUAAAGCCCUUUCGGUGGGGAAGAAAAGUCUCGACCUAUACGUCGGGACCUUGACGUAACCCACUAAAGAAGCACCGGCUAACUCUGUGCCAGCAGCCGCGGUAAC